GCUGGGUGCAGUGGUGCAUGCCUGUAUUCCCAGCAACUCAGGAGGCUGAGGCAGGAGGAUCACAAGUUCAAUACCAGCCUUAGCAACUUAAAGAGACCCUAAGCAACUUAGCCAGAUCCUGUCUCAA
rnacentral:sRNA from 1 species